CAGGGAGAUGCAAGUGCGAAGGCGCAUCGCGAGCAUCUACAACAAGCGCGAGGACAAUUUCGCGUCCCUCAGAGACUACAAGGACUACCUGGAAGACGUAGAGGACAUCAUCUUCAAUCUGGUCCAAGGCAUCAAUGUGGAUG